rfam:Oryza sativa (indica cultivar-group) chromosome 8, whole genome shotgun sequence.
CUUUAGUUACAUACUCCUUGCCAACAUUUGACCAUUUGUAUUAUUUGAAAAAUUUAUUAAAAAAUUAAAAAAAUCACACAUAAAAUAUUAUUCAUGUUUUAUUAUCUAAUAACAAUAAAAAUACUAAUCAUAAAAACAAUUUAAAUAAAACGGACAGUCAAACGUUGGACACCGAAACCCACAACUGCGCUUAAA